rnacentral:rRNA from 1 species
AACGAACGCUGGCGGCAUGCCUAACACAUGCAAGUCGACCGAGACCUUCGGGUCUAGUGUCGCACGGGUUCGUAACGCGUGGGAACCUGCCCUUAGGUUCGGCAUAACUCCCCGAAAGGGGUGCUAAUACCGGAUCAUGUCUUCGGACCAAAGAUUUAUCGCCUUUGGUUGGGCCCUCGUUGGAUUAGCUAGUUGGUAGGGUAAAAGCCUACCAAGGCGACGAUCCAUAGCUGGUCUGAGAGGAUGAGCAGCCACACUGGGACUGAGACACGGCCCAGACUCCUACGGGAGGCAGCAGUGGGGAAUAGUGGACAAUGGGCGAAAGCCUGAUCCAGCAAUGCCGGGUGAGUGAUGAAGGCAGUAGGGUUGUAAAGCUCUUUUACCCGGGAGGAUAAUGACAGUACCGGGAGAAUAAGCUCCGGCUAACUCCGUG